rnacentral:rRNA from 1 species
UCUGGGUUGGAUGAGUGGCGAACGGGUGAGUAACACGUGAGUAACCUGCCCUCUUCUUUGGGAUAACGGUCGGAAACGGCUGCUAAUACCGGGUAUUCACUGUCCUUCGCAUGGGGGGUGGGUGGAAAGGUUUUUUCUUGGUGGGGGAUGGGCUCGCGGCCUAUCAGCUUGUUGGUGGGGUGAUGGCUUACCAAGGCUUUGACGGGUAACCGGCCUGAGAGGGUGACCGGUCACAUUGGGACUGAGAUACGGCCCAG